AUCUAUCUCUCUGUCUCUUUCCAUUGCUUCUAUCCUCCUCUCUCUUAUCGCCUUCAUUUCUAUUUCUCUGGAAUCAUACUCCACUUCUUUGUCUUUCUCUCUCAAAAUUUCCCAUAAACAUCCGAUGUAUCGCUCAUGCUAAUCGUCUGCAAUCUCCGUAUGAACCAGCGUAGCUCCAUCAUUUCAACCCUAUUCGUCGUCUCAAAAACCCUAGGUUCAUAAUCCAAUUGGAGUUUCCUUCAAUGGUGUCAUCGAAGGUGAUAAAGAAGAAACUCUUUCUCUUCCUCUCUCUUGCUCUAUUCUUUUACUGAUUGGAGUUUUCGUUGAGGUUGGGUUCAAUGAAGGUUGGGUUCUCUUCACUGAAGCAAGCAACAAUGUGUCAACAAAUUGAAUUGAAGUCCCCCACAUACCAAGGUUUGUAUGAUGCUUCUUAAGACUUUUGGAGCUCAACAAAUGCUCAAAACAAUCCCAAGGUAUGCAAGUCCAAAAGGCACUAUUAUUUGCCUCUUGCUAUCAUGCAUGCACACAAACAUAAAAGGUUAUUUCUAAAAGUUUGCUUAUUUGAGAAUCGUAUAAGAUGCAGGAAAAAAGAAAGGCAAAAGAUCUACUGUGGCAAAUUCCUUGUCUUUUUCUUCAGUCCAUUUAUUUGGUAUAAUUGCAAAUAUGGAUAAAAGACUAAAAAUAAUUAUAGGGAGGUGAGGGUUAGAACUCGUUUUGUGGGCUUUUUUUGUACAAUGCAAGUUGUACCCCAUGUUUGUGUAACUACUUUUGAUCAUUACGACUGAAUUGUAAUUCUCCUUUUAUUUGGAUGA